rnacentral:tRNA from 1 species
GGGGCUGUAGCUCAGUGGCAGAGUGCUUGCCUAGUAUGUGCAAGAAACUGGGUUUGAUCCUUAGUACCA